CCAUUAACACAACUAUUGUUUUCCCCAGAACACAAGAGAGGCACAGGACAAAUGUGAUCCCAAAGGCAGUGUGGCAUAACAUGCAGGACCACUCAGAGGGCUGGCCAAUGAAAAACACAAGAGAGGCACAGGACAAAUGUGAUCCCAAAGGCAGUGUGGCGCAACAUGCAGGACCACUCAGAGGGCUGGCCAAUGAAAAUGAAAACUUUAAUUCCAUACAGAGACCAAGCCAGUAAACCCAUCAAGUGUCCUCAGGUGAAAAUAUAGACAGAGUUGAUGACAAAAAAUAUCAGAAUCCAUCAGCUGAACUUCCCCUGGAAGUUGGGAUUGCUUUCCAACUAAAGAGGUAGACCCAAACUUAAAUGUAAUUUACCAUGGGGAUUUUAAAAGGUUGCAGUGUUCUUGAUACAAUAAUGGACUGUGAUGAUCCAGAGUCCCCAAUGAUGACUUUCACAGG